UACGUAGGGUGCAAGCGUUAAUCGGAAUUACUGGGCGUAAAGCGUGCGCAGGCGGUUUUGUAAGACCGAUGUGAAAUCCCCGGGCUUAACCUGGGAACUGCAUUGGUGACUGCAAGGCUUGAGUGUGUCAGAGGGAGGUGGAAUUCCGCGUGUAGCAGUGAAAUGCGUAGAGAUCUGGAGGAACACCGAUGGCGAAGGCAGCCUUCUGGGCCAACACUGACGCUCAUGCACGAAAGCGUGGGGAGCAAACAGG
rnacentral:rRNA from 1 species